rnacentral:rRNA from 1 species
CCUACGGGAGGCAGCAGGGGGGAAUCUUGCGCAAUGGGCGGAAGCCUGACGCAGCAACGCCGCGUGCGGGAAGAAGGCCUUAGGGUCGUAAACCGCUUUCAGGGGGGACGAAGCUUCCGGGGUUAAUAGCCUACGGGGUGACGGUACUCCCAAAAGAAGGUCCGGCUAACUACGUGCCAGCAGCCGCGGUAAUACGUAGGGACCGAGCGUUGUCCGGAAUCAUUGGGCGUAAAGAGCGUGUAGGCGGCCUAGUAGGUCUCGUGUGAAAUCCCGUGGCUCAACCACGGACACGCACGGGAAACCCCUAGGCUCGAGUCCGGAAGAGGAGAGCGGAAUUCCUGGUGUAGCGGUGAAAUGCGCAGAUAUCAGGAAGAACACCCGUAGCGAAGGCGGCUCUCUGGGACGGUACUGACGCUGAGACGCGAAAGCGUGGGGAGCAAACAGGAUUAGAUACCCUGGUAGUCCACGCCGUAAACGAUGGAUGCUAGGUGUGGGAGGUGUCGACUCCUCCCGUGCCGAAGCUAACGCAUUAAGCAUCCCGCCUGGGGAGUACGGCCGCAAGGCUAAAACUCAAAAGAUAGUACGGACGCGAGACGAGUCGACGACGACGACACGGAAGGUAGAG